GAUUUGGCAUCCGCCAUCCAGAAGCUUCUGUUCCAUUCUCGAGAGUUCCGACUUCCACGUGUACGGUUGCAACCUGCAUUUCCGUAAAGUUUUCAGAUUCCUUCACCAAUCAACACAAAUUAUCACCUUCAGCUUCAUCAAAUUUCUUCACCCUUCUUGUUCAUCUACUUUAAUUGUUGAGAUGUCAUACUCGAGGAGAUCAAGGUACUCUCCUUCUCCUUCGCCUUCGCCACCACACAAACGAUACAGCAGGUCUGUAUCAAGGUCCAGGUCCAGAUCGAGAUCCAGGAGUCGGAGCUAUGAUGCAAGUGACAUUGAAAACCCUGGAAACAGUUUGUAUGUGACUGGUUUAUCACGGCGAGUUACGAAGAGAGAUCUUGAGAAGCAUUUCUCAGCAGAGGGAAAGGUGGAAGACGUCCGCCUUGUGAUAGAUCCUUGGACACGGGAAUCUCGUGGAUUUGGGUUUGUAUCCAUGUCCAGUAUUAAGGAAGCUGAUAGUUGCAUCAAGUACCUAGAUGGUUCUGUUCUUGAUGGUCGUGUCAUCACUGUGGAGAAGUGUUUGUUUUGACAGAGGUUGCUUGCUGUAUGUAUGUUGCGGCUCUUCAUCAGAGUCCCAAAUUAACAAAUCACAUCAAAAGCAAAUAUCAGACUAUCAACCCAGCAGAGGGUUGUGGUUGUAUAUCCCCCCAUUCCUUAAUCUUUCUUUCUAUGCAAUUUUAUAUAUCUCAACUUAUCACAAAAUGUUUAUGUUUCCAUGCCGAUUAAAAAAUGACUCCAAUCUGUAUUGAAUAAGACAUUGUAGCUUCUAGAGCUCAUGCUUCCCAUUUGAAAUUACAGGCCAGGAGGCGAAGAGGGCGCACCCCCACUCCAGGAAGAUACCUUGGACUGAGGACCGUACAUGUUCGUCGUCGAUCCCCAACAUAUUCUCCUUAUUCAAGAAGCCGUUCUCCUUCUUACUCAUCUGAAAGGUCAAGGUCAUACUCUCCAGAUUACAGUAGGCGCCGUCGUCGGUCAUACUCCCGUUCUACUUCCCCAUACAGUAGACGUAGGUCCUACUCCCCAACCCCAGACGACUACCGUAGGAGGAGGAGCCACCGACGUUCCAGAUCUUACACUCCAGAAGACCGUUACUACAGAAGCCGAGGUCGCUACCGUUCUAGGGACUCUUCACCAGACUACAGAAGUUCAAGCAGGUACUACUCACCUGACUACAGGCGCUACAGGAGUGUUUCUAGAAGUGUGUCACCUCCUCCAAGGAGGGAUUACAGGAGCAGAAGCGUGCGUUAUCGGCGUGUUUCUAGAAGCGUGUCUUCUUCUCCAAGGAGGCAUUACAGAAGCUAUUCUUCUAGCAUGUCGCCUGUUAGGUCAAGAAGGGGGCAUUCUCCUAGUGUAUCCCCGAGAUCUCCCUCAAGUGGCAGUAGCAGGUCUGCUUCUCCUAGUAGUUAAAGCAUCGACAAGUAUGCUUCAUGCAUGUCGUUUCAGUUAUAAUUGCUUGUGUGUGGUUGUAAGGCUUUACUUUAAACCUUUUUUGUUGCAUGUGCUUGAAUAAAUUACCCGUUGGUUGAAACAUCUGAUUGUUGUCAUA